AGUGCGAGUCCAAGGUGAGCGAGUCCGGGCUCUGAGAAAUCCAUGCCGCCGAGGGUGUGCGUGGAGAUGCUGAAUCUGGGCUGCAUGUCGAAGACCACGUAGCACUUGCACCUGGGACCUGAGAGAAGAGGCACCUGGGAGACGGGGCAGCUGAGUUACCCAAGAAGUGAGUCAUCAGGCCCAGCCCCAGGCAGAAGGAGGGAUGGAGCUCCACGGCUUCAAGGAAGAUCAAAGCAGUUGAGGUCAUCUGUUUAGAAUCACAACGCUUCCCUUUCCAAGAAGACGACGAUGAGCAAAAAGCAAAUCCAAGGGACAAAACAUUCCUAACGCGGGAGGAAGCAGACCCAGAGGUUAAAAACCCAAGCCUCGAAAUCCAACAACCUUGGGUUUGAAUCCCAGUUCACAGGGACCUCACGAACACACCGCUGGGGCAAGUCCUUUAGCCUCUGAGCUUUAACGCCAGGGUCCUCCUCAGCGAAACGGUGGCAAUCACAACUCCCUCAGUGGUUACUGUGCACAGAAGACGAAGCCAUGGUUGUAAAGCGAAUGGACCAUAAUAAGCACUCAUGAAAUAGGAGUUGUGCUCACAAGCGGUUCAUCUCACAGCAAUCCCUGCCCAUCUUCAGCAACGACAGAAAGUUACUGGGUUAGAAGAACAUGAGGCCUUAGAAGAAACAGUGAUACUUGUGGGACAGAGGUGAUGAGCCCAGAAAAAUGGAAGUUUGAUUAGUAAGAUUCGACUCAUCUGAGUCCAAUCAUCCUUAAUUAAUUAAUUUAUUUAUUUAGUCUUUUUGUCUUUUUUCUUUGUAGGGCCGCCCCUGUGGCAUAUGGAGGUUCCCAGGCCAGAGGUCGAAUUGGAGCUACAGCUGCCAGCCUGCACCACAGCCACAGCCACACAGUAUCUGAGCCAUGUCUGCAACCUACACCACAGCUCACAGCAAUGCCAGAUCCUUAACCCACUGAGCAAGGCCAGGGACUGGACACACAUCCUCAUGGAUAUUAGUCAAGUUCAUUAACCACUGAGCCACGACAGGAAUUCCCAAUCAUCCAUUUAAAAAAUACUCUAAAGUCUGUGAUCCUUCGUUACAUCUGCAAAGUUCCCUUUGCUGUGUAAUCCCAUCUAUUCAUUCCCAGGUGCAGGGAUGAGGGCAUGGGCAUCUUUGGGGGCCUUUUUUCCAGCCUAUCACAGAUGUGAAACAACUUCCCUGAACCAUGAUAGAGCCGCCUAGAUUGUCAACAGGGUACAGAAGUCAAGAGAACUUGCCAGAGGGCUUGGAUUCAGGGAGAGGACCCCAGACCCUAAGAAGGACAGACAAGCACCCCUCGAGGCCCUGAGACAGGGCUAUCAGAUGCUAUGAAUCUAGCCUGAGCCCGGGUUUCCCUCCAGCUCUGCCAGGUGCUGGUUGUGUGACCUCUGGCAGGUCACAACAUCUCUCUGGAACUCAGCGUCUUCGACUGUAAACCCAGGGGUUUGGAUUAGCCAAGAGCCCUCACUCAAUGAAUUUCAAGCCUGAAUGCUUACCUACAAUCCUCAAUAGAACACUGGCUCUGGAAGAUAAAUGAACUUCACAGAUAAACACGCACCCAGUGGAAAGACCACCUCAAUUCUACUCCCUCCACCUUUUAGGGUGGCAUGCCCAUGGCAGGCAGAAGUUCCAGGGACAGGAUCAAACCUGCACCACAGGAGUUCCCGUCGUGGCUCAGUGGUUAACAAAUCCGACUAGGAACCACGAGGUUGUGAGUUCAAUCCCUGGCCUUGCUCAGUGGGUUAAGGAUCCGGCGUUGCCAUUAGCUGUGGUGUAGGUCGCAGAUGCAGCUCGGAUCCCAUGUUGCUAUGGCUCUGGCAUAGGCUGGUGGCUACAGCUCCAAUGAACCCCUAGCCUGGGAACCUCCAUAUGCCAUGGGAGCGGCCCAAGAAAUG
rnacentral:lncRNA from 1 species